AAAAGAUCAAGACUUGUGGUACUUUGUGUUAAUCAUGGGAUUCUACGUAUCUGCAUUUGGAUGAUUAUGGUAAACGAAUUCAGGACCGCUGGUAGUUCUUCAAGGUAAAGCAUUCUGGAAUGUGGUACUUCUGGGAAACAUUUGAGAGGGUAUUCAGUGGCCUAUGGGUCUUAGACAGUGUUGUUUUAUGUGCGAGUCUCGUGUGGUAACUUGGGUCGAGGUAUUGUGGUACUACAGCAAAGGAGAAUAUCAAAUCAAAGAUGAAUCGGGAAGGAAAUUGGAUAAAUGGAAUAACUUGAUAAUGAACUGAAUCAGUAUGGUAUGGAUAUGAUUAACUAUUGUAUGUGUUCGAGGUAAUGAGCCUUAUAGGUAUUGUGCAGCAAAGCUUUUAAGUGCUGGCAGUUUGCUUAACUUGGUUUGGGUAGAAGGAUUCAGUCUUAGACAGUGAGGUUUAUGUGCGAGUCUCCUGUGGUAACCUGGGUUGAGGUAUCAUGGUGCUACAACAAGGGAGAAUAUUAGAUCAAGGAUGAGUCGGGAAGGAAAUUGGAUAAAUGGAAUAGCUUGAUAAUGAACCAAAUCGGUAUGGUAAGGAUAUGAUUAAUUAUUGUAUGUGUUCGAGGUAAUUAGCCUUACAGGUAUUGUGCAGCAAAGUUUUUAGUGCUGACAGUUUGUUUAACUUGGUUUGGGUAGAAGGAUUCAGCCCUGGCAGUUUAGCUUGUGCAAUGGGAUUGGGAGAAAGAGUUCUCAAUGUGUUUUACCGUGGUUUGAAAAUGAGUAUAUUCCUAUGGGUAUGCGAGGCAUGGAGUGUGUAAUAAUUUUUCUCCUAUAGGGGACCAUGAAAGUUCUUGACGAGUUGAGUGCGUCGAUGUCUGCAGCGUAGAAGAGAGAUAGGAGUCCUCAUGUUAUCCAGUGUGGUAUGGUCUGUAUGUUAUGAUAUGGAGAAUUGGGAUUUGCGUGUUCAAGGUUUUGGUUCAGCUCAUAAUGGGAAUUCAUUAAAUUCAUGAGCAACACGGGCAGUUGCAGGUGAAUGAAGAAUCGACCUUCAGAGGAUUAAAGAGAUGGUAUUGCUAUUAUAGUGGUUUGACAAGGGUAUAUGUUCAGUCAAAAGGGGUAAGUUGAUGUAAUUUGAUGAUACUUUAGUAGUAUUGCGACAUUUUUCUUGUGGGAUCAACUGUUGAUAAUUGGGUUGUUGAUGUAGCAGACAGAUUCUUGAAUAUCUUUCGUGGUAUGAAUGGAUACUUGAUGUUUGUUUUGUAUAUGUAUGGUGAAGUGUGGGAUCAGGCAUAGUGAUUCAUGUGUUAUAUGUGUUGGAGACUAGACGUUUUAGUGAUCCGACUGUGCAGUGGUUGUAGAUCGUGUG
rnacentral:lncRNA from 1 species